rnacentral:sRNA from 1 species
GUUGGAAAUCUCGCGAUGGAGGGAGGAGGAGGUAUACCCCUAGAAACACUUAAAGAAGAAAGUCAGUCAAGACAUGUUCUACCUGCAAAUUUUGAAGUCAACAGUUUGCAGAAAAGCAACUGGGGGUUCUUACUUACUGGGCUUGUGGGUGGGACCCUGGUGGCUGUGUACGCUGUAGCCACGCCGUUUGUAACGCCAGCCCUUCGAAAAGUCUGUUUGCCGUUUGUACCUGCAACUACGAAGCAGAUUGAAAAUGUUGUGAAAAUGUUGCGAUGCCGAAGAGGAUCCCUUGUGGACAUCGGUAGUGGGGACGGACGCAUUGUCAUAGCGGCUGCGAAGAAAGGGUUCACAGCAGUUGGUUAUGAAUUAAACCCAUGGCUAGUUUGGUAUUCCAGAUACCGCGCUUGGCGAGAAGGUUACUUUUUCGCAGUACUCGAACGUUGUUAUUUUCGGUGUGCCUCAGAUGAUGCUGCAGUUGGAGAAGAAACUUGAACGUGAACUUGAGGAUGAUGCACGAGUUAUUGCUUGCCGGUU